CUCAGUGUGGCCGGGGGAGAAAAGUGACAUUCACAAAGAUGUGUUAUUGGUCACUUUUCAUGUUGUGAUCCAGGGCCCUUCUGCUGCACAGGAGGAUGGCCAUGUUUCACUCCAAAGCUGGCCUUCACAGAGGAGAGAUGAGGCUCCUCUGCUCCUUCAGCACAUCUGAAAUCCAGCACCGCAUGCUUGAAAGCCUAGACUUCCUUCUCUGUAGCCUCUCAAGGUCUGGAGAUUGCUGCCCAUCUCCCGCAGCACAUUCUGGAGCUUACGACAUUUGCCUCUGAGAGGAUAGAAGUUGCCAAGGUGGGAGAGGAGAAAAGAGCACUGUGUGCAAAACAGGGGCUCAAAGUGCAAAGGUAAGACAAGGAAAUAUUUUUAUCUUUUAUUAACCCACCUGAAACAGCAGGACAGAGAGCAUUAUUGAGAAAUAGCCACACUGGGAAAAUCUGCAGACUUUUCCUUCUGGCACAACUCCACCUGUGGCAGUCAUGCAGAUGAAUUAGUGGCACUGGUAUCUAACUGCAGCCGUUGCUGUAGGGAUUCAGAAAACAAAGCUCCGUGUGUCCUGACUGCCUCGCAGGGGUGCCAUGACCCACAGCAUCCUGAACCCGGUACACGUGCCUUUAGUUUGCUCUGGAUUUAGAAGGAAAAAGGGUCAGCAGCCAGGUCAUAGCAGCACUCACCUGGUUGCAGCGGCUCUUGCAGUGGUUCGCAGUGACAGGAGCUUAGGUGGUGCAUUUAGGAGAGAAGCUCAGAGUCUCCCAUGCUCACAUCCUCCCUUUCUGCUUGUUCCCACCAAGGCUGCUGCAGCAGUAGCUUGUGAGAUGAAGGGUGGCUUUUCAGAGGAAAAGGUCCCUGGGCUGCCCAGGGAAGUUGUGGAUACAUCUCUGGAGGCGCUCAAGGCCAGGUUG
ensembl:lncRNA